rnacentral:rRNA from 1 species
UGGAUUGGUGGCCUUCGGGAACUCUGACACAGGUGCUGCAUGGCUGUCGUCAGCUCGUGCGUGAGAUGUUGGGUUAAGUCCGUAACGAGCGCAACCCUUGUCCUUAGUUACCAGCACGUUAUGGUGGGCACUCUAAGGAGACUGCCGGUGACAAACCGGAGGAAGGUGGGGAUGACGUCAAGUCAUCAUGGCCCUUACGGCCUGGGCUACACACGUGCUACAAUGGUCGGUACAAAGGGUUGCCAAGCCGCGAGGUGGAGCUAAUCCCAUAAAACCGAUCGUAGUCCGGAUCGCAGUCUGCAACUCGACUGCGUGAAGUCGGAAUCGCUAGUAAUCGUGAAUCAGAAUGUCACGGUGAAUACGUUCCCGGGCCUU